UACGUAGGGGGCAAGCGUUGUCCGGAAUCAUUGGGCGUAAAGAGCGUGUAGGCGGCCCGAUAAGUCCGCUGUGAAAGUCCAGGGCUCAACCCUGGGAUGCCGGUGGAUACUGUCGGGCUCGAGUCCGGAAGAGGAGUGUGGAAUUCCGUGGUGUAGCGGUGAAAUGCGUUGAUAUCUACAGGAACUCCGGUGGCGAAAGCGGCGUG
rnacentral:rRNA from 1 species